CGAAGGGGGCUAGCGUUGCUCGGAAUUACUGGGCGUAAAGGGCGCGUAGGCGGACUAGUUUAGUCGGGGGUGAAAGCCCGGGGCUCAACCUCGGAAUUGCCUUCGAUACUGGCUGUCUUGAGUACGGGAGAGGUGUGUGGAACUCCGAGUGUAGAGGUGAAAUUCGUAGAUAUUCGGAAGAACACCAGUGGCGAAGGCGACACACUGGCCCGUUACUGACGCUGAGGCGCGAAAGCGUGGGGAGCAAACAGGAUUAGAUACCCUGGUAGUCCACGCUGUAAACGAUGAGUGCUAGUUGUCGGCAUGCAUGCAUGUCGGUGACGCAGCUAACGCAUUAAGCACUCCGCCUGGGGAGUACGGUCGCAAGAUUA
rnacentral:rRNA from 1 species